GCGGGGAUGGCGGAACUGGUAGACGCACUAGACUUAGGAUCUAGUAUCCAUAGGAUGUGAGGGUUCAAGUCCCUUUCCUCGCA
rnacentral:tRNA from 1 species